UGGGGGAUAUUGCACAAUGGGCGAAAGCCUGAUGCAGCGACGCCGCGUGGGGGAUGAAGGCGUUCGGGUUGUAAACUUCUUUUGCUCUGAACAAGGCGCACCAUGGGGUGUGUUGAGUGUAGGGGUUGAUUAGCGCCGGCUAACUACGUGCCAGCAGCCGCGGUAAUACGUAGGGCGCGAGCGUUGUCCGGAAUUAUUGGGCGUAAAGGGCUUGUAGGUGGCUGGUUGCGUCUGUCGUGAAAGCUCAUGGCUUAACUGUGGGUUUGCGGUGGGUACGGGCUGGCUUGAGUGCAGUAGGGGAGGCUGGAAUUCCUGGUGUAGCGGUGGAAUGCGCAGAUAUCAGGAGGAAUACCGGUGGCGAAGGCGGGUCUCUGGGCUGUUACUGACACUGAGGAGCGAAAGCAUGGGGAGCGAACAGG
rnacentral:rRNA from 1 species